AACGAACGCUGGCGGCAGGCCUAACACAUGCAAGUCGAGCGCCCCGCAAGGGGAGCGGCGGACGGGUGAGUAACGCGUGGGAAUAUGCCCUUUGCUACGGAAUAGUCUCGGGAAACUGGGGGUAAUACCGUAUACGCCCUUUGGGGGAAAGAUUUAUCGGCGAAGGAUUAGCCCGCGUUGGAUUAGGUAGUUGGUGGGGUAAUGGCCUACCAAGCCGACGAUCCAUAGCUGGUUUGAGAGGAUGAUCAGCCACACUGGGACUGAGACACGGCCCAGACUCCUACGGGAGGCAGCAGUGGGGAAUCUUAGACAAUGGGGGCAACCCUGAUCUAGCCAUGCCGCGUGAGUGAUGAAGGCCUUAGGGUUGUAAAGCUCUUUCAGCUGGGACGAUAAUGACGGUACCAGCAGAAGAAGCCCCGGCUAACUCCGUG
rnacentral:rRNA from 1 species